AGUGAACGCUGGCGGUAGGCCUAACACAUGCAAGUCGAACGGCAGCACAGUAAGAGCUUGCUCUUACGGGUGGCGAGUGGCGGACGGGUGAGGAAUACAUCGGAAUCUACUUUUUCGUGGGGGAUAACGUAGGGAAACUUACGCUAAUACCGCAUACGACCUACGGGUGAAAGCAGGGGAUCUUCGGACCUUGCGCGAUUGAAUGAGCCGAUGUCGGAUUAGCUAGUUGGCGGGGUAAAGGCCCACCAAGGCGACGAUCCGUAGCUGGUCUGAGAGGAUGAUCAGCCACACUGGAACUGAGACACGGUCCAGACACCUACGGGAGGCAGCAGUGGGGAAUAUUGGACACUGGGCGCAAGCCUGAUCCAGCCAUACCGCGUGGGUGAAGAAGGCCUUCGGGUUGUAAAGCCCUUUUGUUGGGAAAGAAAAGCAGCAGGUUAAUACCCCGCUGUUCUGACGGUACCCAAAGAAUAAGCACCGGCGAACUUCGU
rnacentral:rRNA from 1 species